rnacentral:tRNA from 1 species
AAGGAUUUAAGUUAAAAAAACUAAGAACCUUCAAAGUUCUAAAUAAAGAAUAUACACUUUAAGCCUUA